rnacentral:rRNA from 1 species
AGUAACGGCGAGUGAAGCGGUAACAGCUCAAAUUUGAAAGCUAGCUCUUUUAGGGUUCGCAUUGUAAUUUGUAGAAGAUGCUUCGGGUGUGGCCCCGGUCUAAGUUCCUUGGAACAGGACGUCAUAGAGGGUGAGAAUCCCGUAUGUGACUGGGUGCUUUCGCUCAUGUGAAGCUCUUUCGACGAGUCGAGUUGUUUGGGAAUGCAGCUCAAAAUGGGUGGUAAAUUUCAUCUAAAGCUAAAUAUUGGCCAGAGACCGAUAGCGCACAAGUAGAGUGAUCGAAAGAUGAAAAGCACUUUGGAAAGAGAGUUAAACAGUACGUGAAAUUGUUGAAAGGGAAGCGCUUGCAACCAGACUUGCGCGCUGAUGAUCAUCCGGGCUUCUGCCCGGUGCACUCGUCUGCGCUCAGGCCAGCAUCGGUUUCGGUGGUGGGAUAAAGGCCUUGGGAAUGUAGCUUCUUUCGGGGAGUGUUAUAGCCCUCGGUGCAAUGCCGCCUACCGGGACCGAGGACCGCGCUUCGGCUAGGAUGCUGGCGUAAUGGUUGUAAGCGACCCGUCUUGAAACACGGACCAAGGAGUCUAACAUCUAUGCGAGUGUUUGGGUGUCAAACCCAUACGCGUAAUGAAAGUGAACGGAGGUGAGAACCCUUAAGGGUGCAUCAUCGACCGAUCCUGAUGUCUUCGGAUGGAUUUGAGUAAGAGCAUAGCUGUUGGGACCCGAAAGAUGGUGAACUAUGCGUGAAUAGGGUGAAGCCAGAGGAAACUCUGGUGGAGGCUCGCAGCGGUUCUGACGUGCAAAUCGAUCGUCAAAUUUGCGUAUAGGGGCGAAAGA